rnacentral:rRNA from 1 species
ACGUGAGUAACCUGCCCCGGACUCUGGAAUAAGCGCUGGAAACGGCGUCUAAUACCGGAUACGAGACGCAACCGCAUGGUUAGCGUCUGGAAAGUUUUUCGGUCUGGGAUGGACUCGCGGCCUAUCAGCUUGUUGGUGAGGUAAUGGCUCACCAAGGCGACGACGGGUAGCCGGCCUGAGAGGGCGACCGGCCACACUGGGACUGAGACACGGCCCAGACUCCUACGGGAGGCAGCAGUGGGGAAUAUUGCACAAUGGGGGAAACCCUGAUGCAGCCAUGCCGCGUGUGUGAAGAAGGCC